AACCUUGAUGAUGAAAAAUUAUUGUAGUCCUAGUUGUUGUUUUACCCAAUAAGUGAUACAAUUGAUUAACUAACUUCCUUUCAUCACUACAAAAGCUCUCUUUAAGAUUUUUAGCAAACUAUUCUUGCUAAUGUAUUUAUAUCUAUAAGAAUUCAGAGUACCUAAGAAAAUUAAGUUCUUUUCAUUUUUGGAACAUGCCAAGCUUUUACGAUCCUCACAUUACCAUUUUAUAUCUC
rnacentral:lncRNA from 1 species